rnacentral:rRNA from 1 species
AGUCGAGCGGACAGAUGGGAGCUUGCUCCCUGAUGUUAGCGGCGGACGGGUGAGUAACACGUGGGUAACCUGCCUGUAAGACUGGGAUAACUCCGGGAAACCGGGGCUAAUACCGGAUGGUUGUUUGAACCGCAUGGUUCAGACAUAAAAGGUGGCUUCGGCUACCACUUACAGAUGGACCCGCGGCGCAUUAGCUAGUUGGUGAGGUAACGGCUCACCAAGGCAACGAUGCGUAGCCGACCUGAGAGGGUGAUCGGCCACACUGGGACUGAGACACGGCCCAGACUCAUACGGGAGGCAGCAGUAGGGAAUCUUCCGCAAUGGACGAAAGUCUGACGGAGCAACGCCGCGUGAGUGAUGAAGGUUUUCGGAUCGUAAAGCUCUGUUGUUAGGGAAGAACAAGUGCCGUUCAAAUAGGGCGGCACCUUGACGGUACCUAACCAGAAAGCCACGGCUAACUACGUGCCAGCAGCCGCGGUAAUACGUAGGUGGCAAGCGUUGUCCGGAAUUAUUGGGCGUAAAGGGCUCGCAGGCGGUUUCUUAAGUCUGAUGUGAAAGCCCCCGGCUCAACCGGGGAGGGUCAUUGGAAACUGGGGAACUUGAGUGCAGAAGAGGAGAGUGGAAUUCCACGUGUAGCGGUGAAAUGCGUAGAGAUGUGGAGGAACACCAGUGGCGAAGGCGACUCUCUGGUCUGUAACUGACGCUGAGGAGCGAAAGCGUGGGGAGCGAACAGGAUUAGAUACCCUGGUAGUCCACGCCGUAAACGAUGAGUGCUAAGUGUUAGGGGGUUUCCGCCCCUUAGUGCUGCAGCUAACGCAUUAAGCACUCCGCCUGGGGAGUACGGUCGCAAGACUGAAACUCAAAGGAAUUGACGGGGGCCCGCACAAGCGGUGGAGCAUGUGGUUUAAUUCGAAGCAACGCGAAGAACCUUACCAGGUCUUGACAUCCUCUGACAAUCCUAGAGAUAGGACGUCCCCCUUCGGGGGCAGAGUGACAGGUGGUGCAUGGUUGUCGUCAGCUCGUGUCGUGAAAUGUUGGGUUAAGUCCCGCAACGAGCGCAACCCUUGAUCUUAGUUGCCAGCAUUCAGUUGGGCACUCUAAGGUGACUGCCGGUGACAAACCGGAGGAAGGUGGGGAUGACGUCAAAUCAUCAUGCCCCUUAUGACCUGGGCUACACACGUGCUACAAUGGGCAGAACAAAGGGCAGCGAAACCGCGAGGUUAAGCCAAUCCCACAAAUCUGUUCUCAGUUCGGAUCGCAGUCUGCAACUCGACUGCGUGAAGCUGGAAUCGCUAGUAAUCGCGGAUCAGCAUGCCGCGGUGAAUACGUUCCCGGGCCUUGUACACACCGCCCGUCACACCACGAGAGUUUGUAACACCCGAAGUCGGUGAGGUAACCUUUUAGGAGCCAGC